rnacentral:tRNA from 1 species
GGCCUGGUGGCGGAGGGGCGACGCGUCGGGCGUGCAAGCCCGAAGACCCUCCGUUCAACUCGGGGGCCAGGCCUCCA